rnacentral:lncRNA from 1 species
UUCAAAUACACAAGCAACAACCACUACACAAAAACCUAUGGCGCUUCUUGGGUUGGGAUUUUGAGAUUGAACCCUGGCCUAGGUGGGAGAAGCAAGAGGCAUGACUGAGGUAUUUUGGUCUCUACCAUGUUUCACUGAGGGGCUUUUAUAACAGAGCACUGACUGGGGUGUGAAGUGCUUUUCCAAUGCUGAAAAAGGUAGCACUUUGUUUUUCACUGGCCAUUACUGUUUGUGGGUAGCUUCCCCAAGGCUUCUGAAGAGAAAGAUACCUCAAUGGGCUGCUGCCUCUACCUGCAUAGUCUUCCUCUGGUACUGGAACCACUCUAUAUAAAUUGUUGAUGAAUAAGUAUCCUGCUUGUAGAAACUCAG